UUUGUGUGUGAACAAAGUCUCACGUGAUGAGUAGAAAAGAAAAAAUUCUAUUCAUAAGAAGCUGAAUAGUCUUAAUAGUAUCUUUAUUCAAAACGAACAAUAUCACAUAAUAGUAUUUUGAGACUCUUAGAUUCGCGCUUUCAAUAUUUAACAUUUGAUUUGGUCAGAAAGUUGGUUCUCACAACUUCUAAAAUAGACGUUAAGUAAGCCAUGACUCUAUCAUCUUCCUUACCAAUAAAUACCUUGCACUUCACCACUUUACUACUACAUUAAAAUGAGGCUUUGUAAAUUCACAGCUCUUUCUUCUCUACUAUUUUCUCUCCUAUUGCUUUCUGCCUCGGCAGAACAAUGUGGUUCGCAGGCCGGAGGUGCGCGUUGUCCCUCGGGUCUCUGCUGCAGCAAAUUUGGUUGGUGUGGUAACACCAAUGACUAUUGUGGCCCUGGCAAUUGCCAGAGCCAGUGCCCUGGUGGUCCCACACCUACACCGCCCACCCCACCCGGUGGUGGGGACCUCGGCAGUAUCAUUUCAAAUUCCAUGUUUGAUCAGAUGCUUAAGCAUCGCAACGAUAAUGCCUGCGAAGGACAUGGAUUCUACAGUUACAAUGCCUUUAUCAAUGCUGCUAGGUCUUUUCCUGGCUUUGGUACCAGUGGCGAUACUACUGCCCGUAAAAGAGAAAUCGCGGCUUUCUUUGCUCAAACCUCCCAUGAAACGACCGGUAUGUCUAGUUAUGUUGAACUGUAUGACUGUCUAAUUCAAAAGUUUAAUCUGUUAGAGAGCAUACUUUUGUUUUAUCAUACUGGUCUAUUCUAGUUUCAUGAGACAAACACAUAGAGAUUCUUUUAUAAUGACUGGCGCCGAGACUUGAAUUCAGGAUCUCUAUCUACUCAUAUUGGAGUAUCCAAUUUUGAGAUAUCACAAUGCAAUCUUAAAUUUCGAUGUUUUUUAUAAGCUGACGCUUUCAAUAAUUUGACCAUGUAACCCUUGACAGG
rnacentral:lncRNA from 1 species